rnacentral:rRNA from 1 species
GUGCCAGCCGCCGCGGUAAUACAGAGGUCUCAAGCGUUGUUCGGAAUCACUGGGCGUAAAGGGUGCGUAGGCGGCGCGGUAAGUCAGGUGUGAAAGCCCGGAGCUCAACUUCGGAACUGCACCCGAUACUGCCGCGCUUGAGGACUGGAGAGGAGUCUGGAAUUCACAGUGGAGCAGUGAAAUGCGUGGAUAUUGUGAGGAACACUAGUGGCGAAGGCGAGACUCUGGACAGUUCCUGACGCUGAGGCACGAAGGCCAGGGGAGCAAACGGGAUUAGAUACCCGCGUAGUCC